UAUAGCAACGUCAGACAAUCUAACCACAACUCAUGAAAGUUACAUACCACCUACAGUAGUGGUACUUUAGCCUUCAAUGAGACACAGAAUCAGUAUUAGUGUCACUCAAGAUCUUCAUAGAAACAGCAAUUUAGUCUUACUCCAUACCAGUGUCAACAGGGAUGGCAGCUGACGUGGAGCUGAGGGGCUGGUUUGGAAGGAAGGCCCGGACAGGACCUGUGGCCGUAAACUGAACCAAGUUGUCACUGGCCACAAGGCUGGCUGUGCCGAGCCCUGGAAACGCUCUGGGGCAGGCAGCCCACACUUCUGAGAACUUACAUCUAAAGUGCUCAUUAAUAAGGUUUACUGUGCAGAUUCCUGCUAAAGAGAACUCACCUUCCAAGCAACACAUACAGCAUCAUCCAAGAGAUCUCUAAACAACCAAUUUCUGUGCCUGAUAGAAGCAAAUAGUUGCCAAAAACAGAAAAUUUUCAAUCUGGAAGGUAAAAUCCAGAAGACUUCAAAACGAACAGAACAUGUUGCCGAUAAUAACAAUUAAAAAUCUAUUUCUGCUCCGAACAUCUCUAAAGGAAAAUUAAGAAAUAGUGACCUUCUGAGUUUGCUUCUAACAGUCCAGAUGAAAAUAUAAGUGAGUAUUAAAUGAUUCAGAACCAAAAAGCUUAAUCAAAAGAUUUUUCUUUAAAGAAGUAUGCAAGAUUAGUUUAAAAAUAAACUGGAGAUGGUAGGAAAAGGACAGAAAAUAUACCCACUGUAAAAUUACCAGAGAUGGGUAGAAAUCACCCUGACCUUUCAACUGUAAAAGAAGAUCAUGCACCUGCCUCUGAGGCCUUAAGACUCUCCUUCGUGUGAUCUGGCUGGGUAAAUGUCACAGCGUUCAAUGAGGAAAACAAAUUCUGUUUCUGCAGGGUGAGGGCAAAAUCACCCUUAGGCAAGAAUGUGACAUUGGUCUCCUUGCUCCCAGCCUCCCCUCUCUGCCCUCUCCUACUUUUCCUCUCCUCUCGCACCCUAAAGGCCAAUGCCUCUUGUCCCCCUUUCCAAGCUCCUGUUAGCCCCCUUGGGGUGCCCAAAGUCUGACUUGCCUUGGCAGUGCUCUGUGUUCCACAUCAUUCCUUCCUCCACCUGCCAACACUGGCAAAAUCCCUCAAUGCAAAUCUACGAUAGCUAAAAUUUCAAGUAACAUGAUAGGCCGAGGUGACACAGACCCUCUCUUGCUACUAACACAUAGAAAUGCAGACAAAAUGUGAACUCCAAAAGUUUUAUUUCUAGCUGAGCUCAAAAGAAAGGGCAGUCUCAGUGCUUCAAGGGGAAGCACACAGAGUUGAGGCUCUAGGGGCGGGAGCUAGGAUUCUAAUGUCCACAAGGUGGAGUGCUGGAACUGAGACCCCAGCGUAAAGCUGGGACCCUUCCAGGGGUUCCCAAUUCCUGAAAAGUGGACUUCAAAGACUAGAAAGCAGCAAGAAUUGGUUUGGCAUCUCUCUUGGGUGGUUGAGAAAUAAGAAUUCCAACCAUGUAAGAAUUCCAACCAUGAGAAAGGCUGUAAAGAUCUAAAUGUAUAUGACUCAAGUAGUCAAAAACAAAACAAAACACUCCAGCCAAGACAUUAACCAUAAAACUGGCCCCAAACCAGGAAAAUUCCCAAAGCAAAUGCAAAACACCCUAAAGGGAUACUUCCUCAAUCCUAGACACAUAGAAGUGUCUUUAGCAACACAAACACUUCCAGUUGAAGAUUAGCUCACCACCAAGAUCUACAAAUGAUGUAUAGGAACUAAUCACCACAAGGAAGAGUCAGUAGACAUGACCAACAAGAGAAUUGGCAUUUAGAGGCCAAUAAAGAAUAGAACAAUUUUAAAAGAGAUUAUUAAAAAAUACAUUAAAAUCAUUAGAGCGAUAAGACAAUAGAAAUGAUGCUGAAAGAAAAGCAUAAACUGGCAAAUGUGGAAAGGGAUCAUUCGGCACUGCUAGAAAUGAAAAAUAUUGUCCCUAAAAUGGCAUAUUCAGUGGACAUAUAAAUACCACAUGGACAGAUUAAAUAGAUAAUCCCAGCUGAAGAGAAUAUUUACUAGUGAUCUGGGGGACAGAUUUAAGGAAAUGACCAGAACACACCAGACAAAAGAGGUAAAAAUCAUGAGAGAUCAAAUCCCAUCUAGCCAAAUUCUAACAAGGCAAGCUAUUUUUCUAUAAGAUAGGUAUAAAUCAUGAAAUGAUGUAACAUGUUUACUCUCCAAUGGUUAUU